UUUUGGGGUAGCCAUACAUUUGUGUCCCCCUCCAAUGCAUAUUGUUAGCAAUAUUAUUAGGAAUAAUAUUGUUAGGUGUGAUGUAAAAUUCAAUCAAAUUCUGAUUAGAAUCAAGGAUGUAAAGGGUUACAUCUUUCCUCCAUAGCAAAGUAAGACCCCUAACUUUCUCUCCUCCACUAGUGAAACAAUUAACAUUGUGAAUGUUGGUUAAGGGGCCAACAUUCAUAAUGGACUUCCAAAAAUUGACAUUAUUAUAAAGCUUAGUU
rnacentral:lncRNA from 1 species